UGGGGAAUAUUGGACAAUGGACCAAAAGUCUGAUCCAGCAAUUCUGUGUGCACGAUGACGUUUUUCGGAAUGUAAAGUGCUUUCAGUUGGGAAGAAAAAAAUGACGGUACCAACAGAAGAAGUGACGGCUAAAUACGUGCCAGCAGCCGCGGUAAUACGUAUGUCACAAGCGUUAUCCGGAUUUAUUGGGCGUAAAGCGCGUCUAGGUGGUUAUGUAAGUCUGAUGUGAAAAUGCAGGGCUCAACUCUGUAUUGCGUUGGAAACUGCAUGACUAGAGUACUGGAGAGGUAAGCGGAACUACAAGUGUAGAGGUGAAAUUCGUAGAUAUUUGUAGGAAUGCCGAUGGGGAAGCCAGCUUACUGGACAGAUACUGACGCUAAAGCGCGAAAGCGUGGGUAGUAAACAGGAUUAGAUACCCUGGUAGUCCACGCCGUAAACGAUGAUUACUAGGUGUUGGGGGUCGAACCUCAGCGCCCAAGCUAACGCGAUAAGUAAUCCGCCUGGGGAGUACGUACGCAAGUAUG
rnacentral:rRNA from 1 species